UGUUAAGUUCUAAAGGUUCUUUCUGAA
rnacentral:piRNA from 2 species